rnacentral:rRNA from 1 species
AGAGAGUAAACAGUACGUGAAACCGCAUAGAGGUAAACGGGUGGCGUCAAGCUGCACGCUUGGAGAAUUCAGUCGGUCAGGAUGUUGUGUAUGCGCCUGGCGCAUCUAUCAGUCAGAGUGAGAUAAAGUGGUCCGUUGGGUAACAGCGGGCCCGGCCGAAAGGCUGGGAUUUGUAUUCCGUGUUGUGUGCGGAGCUUGCCACUUGUCUAAGGACUGUCUGGCCGAUGCAUUUUCUCUGUGGCGAACACCACGACCGGUGGAACUGCCAGUCUGCUGUGGUAAAGCCAGGUUCAGUCGGCAUCUCUGGUGUUGGUUGGGCUUGGUCAUAGGCAAGCGGUGUGUGGGUGCGUUUUCGUGCUCGUGCACCGCUUUGUCAACGGGUCUGUUUGCUGACGAUUGUAGUAGUUGGCGAAUGGCCUGGUGGACCAUGGUGGUAAGAAUAACUGUGCAGGGCACCGGUGAUUUCGGUCUCUAAUUUGGCUCGCGUGCACUCUACAGUGUUUGUGGGGCGUUGUUGCAGUCUGCCUAUGAUUGGGUUCGAUUGUCGUGUUGCCUGCGCAAAGCAGGUCCGGCAGUAGCCUGAUUUUGGAUGGUAUUGCUAGCUGCGUCUCCGAUGCGGGCUGAUGAGGGCCUAAUAGUCAGUGGUGUAGUGGUAGACGAGCUACCCGACCCGUCUUGAAACACGGACC